rnacentral:rRNA from 1 species
CGACCACCGAGAUCUACACUCUUUCCCUACACGACGCUCUUCCGAUCUGCUGUGAUGGCGAGCGAAAUAUAGUAGCGAAGUUCCUGAUUCCACACUGCCAAGAAAAGCCUCUAGCGAGGUGAGAGGUGCCCGUACCGCAAACCGACACAGGUAGGCGAGGAGAGAAUCCUAAGGUGAUCGAGAGAACUCUCGUUAAGGAACUCGGCAAAAUGACCCCGUAACUUCGGGAGAAGGGGUGCUCUGUUAGGGUGCAAGCCCGAGAGAGCCGCAGUGAAUAGGCCCAGGCGACUGUUUAGCAAAAACACAGGUCUCUGCGAAGCCGUAAGGCGAAGUAUAGGGGCUGACGCCUGCCCGGUGCUGGAAGGUUAAGAGGAGCGCUUAGCGUAAGCGAAGGUGCGAAUUGAAGCCCCAGUAAACGGCGGCCGUAACAAUAACGGUCCUAAGGUAGCGAAAUUCCUUGUCGGGUAAGUUCCGACCCGCACGAAAGGCGUAACGAUCUGGGCACUGUCUCAACGAGAGACUCGGUGAAAUUAUAGUACCUGUGAAGAUGCAGGUUACCCGCGACAGGACGGAAAGACCCCGUGGAGCUUUACUGCAGCCUGAUAUUGAAUGUUGGUACAGCUUGUACAGGAUAGGUAGGAGCCUUGGAAACCGGAGCGCCAGCUUCGGUGGAGGCAUCGGUGGGAUACUACCCUGGCUGUAUUGACCUUCUAACCCGCCGCCCUUAUCGGGCGGGGAGACAGUGUCAGGUGGGCAGUUUGACUGGGGCGGUCGCCUCCUAAAAGGUAACGGAGGCGCCCAAAGGUUCCCUCAGAAUGGUUGGAAAUCAUUCGCAGAGUGUAAAGGCACAAGGGAGCUUGACUGCGAGACCUACAAGUCGAGCAGGGACGAAAGUCGGGCUUAGUGAUCCGGUGGUUCCGCAUGGAAGGGCCAUCGCUCAACGGAUAAAAGCUACCCUGGGGAUAACAGGCUUAUCUCCCCCAAGAGUCCACAUCGACGGGGAGGUUUGGCACCUCGAUGUCGGCUCAUCGCAUCCUGGGGCUGUAGUCGGUCCCAAGGGUUGGGCUGUUCGCCCAUUAAAGCGGUACGCGAGCUGGGUUCAGAACGUCGUGAGACAGUUCGGUCCCUAUCCGUCGCGGGCGCAGGAAAUUUGAGAGGAGCUGUCCUUAGUACGAGAGGACCGGGAUGGACGCACCGCUGGUGUACCAGUUGUUCUGCCAAGGGCAUCGCUGGGUAGCUAUGUGCGGACGGGAUAAGUGCUGAAAGCAUCUAAGCAUGAAGCCCCCCUCAAGAUGAGAUUUCCCAUUCCGCAAGGAAGUAAGAUCCCUGAAAGAUGAUCAGGUUGAUAGGUCUGAGGUGGAAGUGUGGCGACACAUGGAGCUGACAGAU